rnacentral:misc_RNA from 1 species
GUGAAUCAUCGAAUUUUUGAACGCAAAUUGCACUCUCCUCGGAUAGUAUGCCUGUUUGAGGGUCAGUCUAUAAAAAAUCUCCAUCGAUGCUAUUUCGCGGUGGAGUUCGUCGGAAAUUGGGUCAUUUUAAAUCCUUUUGAUUUAAGCGACAUAAAAUUUUCUUUUGGUUCCAUGAAUGUUUCUUAUAUCUUUUUCUUUACACGUUUAAGUCAUCGUUUU